UCCGAGUUGACCCCGGCAGUCUCCUACGAGUCCCCGGCAUUACCCGCUGGCAACAUAGGACAAGGGUUGCGCUCGUUGCGGGACUUAACCCAACAUCUCACGACACGAGCUGACGACAGCCAUGCACCACCUGUGCACGAGCCCCGAAGGGCUGCCGUGUUUCCACGACAUUCCCGUGCAUGUCAAGCCUUGGUAAGGUGGGGAUGACGUUCGUCUGAC
rnacentral:misc_RNA from 1 species